AUACGGAGGAUGCAAGCGUUAUCCGGAUUUAUUGGGUUUAAAGGGUGCGUAGGCGGAUGAUUAAGCGUGAGGUGAAAUGCCACUGCUCAACAGUGGAACUGCCUCGCGAACUGGUUGUCUUGAAUGCUCCUGCCGUGGGAGGAAUGUGUGGUGUAGCGGUGAAAUGCAUAGAGAUCACACAGAACACCGAUUACGAAGGCAUCUCACGAAGGGGUGAUUGACGCUGAGGCACGAAAGCGUGGGGAUCAAACAGGAUUAGAUACCCUGGUAGUCCACGCAGUAAACGAUGAUAACUAACCGCUGGGUCGUAGUGAUUCAGUGGCCAAGCGAAAGCGAUAAGUUAUCCACCUGGGGAGUACGACCGCAAGGUUGAAACUUAAAGGAAUUGACGGGG
rnacentral:rRNA from 1 species